GAAUUCUCUCUGGACGUCAAUAAAUAUGGAAAUGCCAUUGGGGAGAUAAGUAGACUGCAACCAAAAGAAGGACCAUGGAUUUGGAAGAUGGAGUCCAGGCUGAGAAGCCUCUCUGGAUGUA
ensembl:lncRNA